UUAUCAUUACGGAUUCACGGUCUUAGCUUCUCCGUCUAGAUGUUGGAAAAGCCUAAUAUCUUCCAUCAGCCAUCAUUUCUCAUUUCUCCCAGAUCUCUUCCGUUUCCCUCUUUACUCUCUUCAAUCUCCGGUAGCCUCGGUUACCACCAACCUCCUGACGUUGCCAUUUCCUUCACUGGCUACUUCAAUUUUAUACAUUGUAGAAUAAGUAAAGGUAAACAGAAUCGAAUCGAGGUCAAGAUGGAACCACCAUUCCUGAAUUCCAGCCAAUAGAAUUGGUCAAAACCAAUUCAAUAGGUUAGAUUGACAUUAUAUACCUAAAUUACAGAUUUGAUUGGCAUCUCAGAUUUCACCAUUCUCUACCCUUGUUCAUCCCUAUCUCGGUAUCUCCUUUCCUGGUGCAUCGACACAGCCAUCCACUGGACCACUCAGUACCACCGAAUUUUUGUAGAGCAAGAGGUUGUGAAGGGUAGAAGGAAACAAGAGGGGUGGGUGGUUCCAUCUUAUCUUUUGUGUGUCUUAACUGUAGGUUGUCUCAAACAUACGUGCUUAAUUUUGUUUGUGUGAACCACGAUGGAUUAACUUAAAGCUUUGGCGAUAUCAAUGAUUCAUAUGCCUAGAAGAGCCAAUACCGUCUUCUCCUUUCUAGGAUUUUCUAAAGAUAGGAAUGGACAAAUAGAAUGAGUGGAUGGAUCAUGGUACUUGGUACGAGGCUGAAUUAGGUUUUCCUGUAACUUAUGAUUCUCCACCGGUAAAUCUUGAUACAUCGCAUCCAUCCUAGAUUCAUCUUCUCUAUCUUCCACGACCACUGAGUCUUCCAACCAUCUGUUCUAGGUAAGACCACUCCAAAAAUUGUAGAUAGUUUACAUGUUAUAAAACAUAAACAAUAUCGUUUUAUUUCAAUUAAAUGUCUUUGAGUUUGAUGUUCUUCACCCAUUUCUUUAAGAGAAUUGAAACUUGGGUUUGGUUCUAGAUUUGAUCAAAUGUACGGUUUAGUUUGAGCACGAUUUCGAUCCGACAUAAGGUAUUAUUUCGUUUUUAGUUAAAAUUCUUAAAUCGCGACUUGGUAUCACUACAUUUGCUGCUUUCGAUUUGAGUUUUUCUUAUAAAUUUUUGAUCUUUAUGAAGAAUCAGGGAGUAGAUGAAGAUUAGGGGUUAAAUACUGGAUGCAGAACAAUGAAACGAGCAAACAUCAGGUUAUUAUUGUCGAUGGCGAUUUUUGUUGUGUCAUAUUUAUACUUCGAAAUGACAAUCUGAUUGUUGUUUACUUACAUAAUGUACACAUUAUAAAGGUCCAGUGGAAAGUUAGACAAGAGGAUUUUGUUUCUAUUUCCAUCUUCAAAAUUAGAAAUGAUCUGAGCAAAGAACAUCUAAAAUCAAGCUUCACCAUUUCAUCAUUCUCACUAUUCCAUGAAUUCAUUAACUCUAUCUCCCUCACCUACAAAGAUGGCGACACCUCCAUAUAAAUUCUGUUUCUAGCCUAAAAAACUGAUUUGGUAUGGAUUUUUGUGGGUUUCAGUUUUUUGUCAAAAUUUGCAUAUGCUUGUUUUUGUAAAAUAUAGAUAUUGUUUGUAAAAUCUGGAUAUGCUAUUGUCUUUUGUUUAUAUCUUUUUUCUGCAUCUUAUACAAUUUAUUUGACAAAACUCAUAAUUACAGCAGGAAAGCACCAUUCAGAUGUCAGUCUUUAAUGAUUCAGAAGGUCUUAAUAGCUAUAAACAACAUCCACCAGUCCUCCUUAACGAUUCAUUUCAAGGUUUAGAAGAAUGUAAGGAGGGGUAAUUUGGUAAUUUUUAAUUAUGUCAAUAUUACUAACAUGGUAUACUUUCAAAUUCAGAAACUACAGCAAGUGAAACCAUGUGAGUGUUAGUCCCUUUAGAAAAAUACUCUCCUUACGGCCAACCAUGGUUUUUUUCUAAAAGGUAUUUUUAAUUAUGUUUUAGUUCUUAUUUUUAUGAAAAUGGAUUUGGAUUUGGAUUUGUCCAAGAAAGGUCAUCUCAGUGUAUUUAGGCUAUUAUGGUGUUGCAUCCUUCGGUUUCUAAAUUAUGUUUAGACAUCAUUAUAUAUUUCUUUAUAAUUUUCUGAUGAAACUAAAACUAUUAAAGAAAUACUUUCCUUUGUUUGACAUUAUUCGUUUUCAAAAUCCUUUUUACUUUGUUCAUGCAUUGGAUUCCAGUAAUAUAUCCUUGCAGGUAUGUUUUAUAUUUAUUUAUAAAUGAUACCAUUGCAAGUGUGUAUUACAUCUAAUUUUGUUUUAUUGAAUUUUUAGUCAAAUGAUGUUGUGAAGAAAAAUAAACUAUGAUGAAGUAAUUAUUUUACAUGGACGUGUUGAGGAUGUUUUAAACUGAUGAAAAGGGUUGGUCUUAUACUUUCAGAGUGGAUUUUCAUCAGAGUUUUGGUUAUAUUUUAUAUCUAAUAUAUUUUUGUAUUAUAGAGAAUGUUUGGGAGUGCUAUUGUUGCUAGAGAUUGAUGGUUAAAACCUGUUGGUCUUCUUUUCUUUAAAAUAUUUUUUUAUAUUAUUUUAUUGUUGAAAUUUACAGCUUACCUUAUUUUAGUUAUGUUUUUUUGGUUUCUUGCAACUAUACAUGUCCCCUUAAGGAUUGACGGAGACGUGUAAAGGGAUGCCAAACUCCAGCUCUCUAAAACUAUUACUGAGGAAAGACAAAUGGAACGAUCUUCACGAGAGGACACAAAACCUUGGCAUACCUAACACAGGAUGCGGUGUAUGUCAUGAACUAUACACAUCUUUUAAUUUGAUAAAAGAUCAUUGGUUUUAAAUCUAUAAGAAUAAAGAUAAUUUGUAAUAAUGCAUAUGAGAUAAUGAAAGUUUUUCAUCUCUGUAACUUAUUUGAACAACGUAAUAUGAUCAUCUAUGGGAAAGGAAACAUAAGAUACCUAAUUACCCCCUUUUUAAAAAAGGAAAAUCGUCUGGAAAAUUGAAUUUGGAUCAA